rnacentral:rRNA from 1 species
UUAAGCGACUAAGCGUACACGGUGGAUGCCCUGGCAGUCAGAGGCGAUGAAGGACGUGCUAAUCUGCGAUAAGCGUCGGUAAGGUGAUAUGAACCGUUAUAACCGGCGAUUUCCGAAUGGGGAAACCCAGUGUGAUUCGUCACACUAUCAUUAACUGAAUCCAUAGGUUAAUGAGGCGAACCGGGGGAACUGAAACAUCUAAGUACCCCGAGGAAAAGAAAUCAACCGAGAUUCCCCCAGUAGCGGCGAGCGAACGGGGAGCAGCCCAGAGCCUGAAUCAGUGUGUGUGUUAGUGGAAGCGUCUGGAAAGGCGCGCGAUACAGGGUGACAGCCCCGUACACAAAAAUGCACAUGCUGUGAGCUCGAUGAGUAGGGCGGGACACGUGGUAUCCUGUCUGAAUAUGGGGGGACCAUCCUCCAAGGCUAAAUACUCCUGACUGACCGAUAGUGAACCAGUACCGUGAGGGAAAGGCGAAAAGAACCCCGGCGAGGGGAGUGAAAAAGAACCUGAAACCGUGUACGUACAAGCAGUGGGAGCACAGAGCAAUCUGUGUGACUGCGUACCUUUUGUAUAAUGGGUCAGCGACUUAUAUUCUGUAGCAAGGUUAACCGAAUAGGGGAGCCGAAGGGAAACCGAGUCUUAACUGGGCGUUAAGUUGCAGGGUAUAGACCCGAAACCCGGUGAUCUAGCCAUGGGCAGGUUGAAGGUUGGGUAACACUAACUGGAGGACCGAACCGACUAAUGUUGAAAAAUUAGCGGAUGACUUGUGGCUGGGGGUGAAAGGCCAAUCAAACCGGGAGAUAGCUGGUUCUCCCCGAAAGCUAUUUAGGUAGCGCCUCGUGAAUUCAUCUCCGGGGGUAGAGCACUGUUUCGGCAAGGGGGUCAUCCCGACUUACCAACCCGAUGCAAACUGCGAAUACCGGAGAAUGUUAUCACGGGAGACACACGGCGGGUGCUAACGUCCGUCGUGAAGAGGGAAACAACCCAGACCGCCAGCUAAGGUCCCAAAGUCAUGGUUAAGUGGGAAACGAUGUGGGAAGGCCCAGACAGCCAGGAUGUUGGCUUAGAAGCAGCCAUCAUUUAAAGAAAGCGUAAUAGCUCACUGGUCGAGUCGGCCUGCGCGGAAGAUGUAACGGGGCUAAACCAUGCACCGAAGCUGCGGCAGCGACGCUUAUGCGUUGUUGGGUAGGGGAGCGUUCUGUAAGCCUGUGAAGGUGUGCUGUGAGGCAUGCUGGAGGUAUCAGAAGUGCGAAUGCUGACAUAAGUAACGAUAAAGCGGGUGAAAAGCCCGCUCGCCGGAAGACCAAGGGUUCCUGUCCAACGUUAAUCGGGGCAGGGUGAGUCGACCCCUAAGGCGAGGCCGAAAGGCGUAGUCGAUGGGAAACAGGUUAAUAUUCCUGUACUUGGUGUUACUGCGAAGGGGGGACGGAGAAGGCUAUGUUGGCCGGGCGACGGUUGUCCCGGUUUAAGCGUGUAGGCUGGUUUUCCAGGCAAAUCCGGAAAAUCAAGGCUGAGGCGUGAUGACGAGGCACUACGGUGCUGAAGCAACAAAUGCCCUGCUUCCAGGAAAAGCCUCUAAGCAUCAGGUAACAUCAAAUCGUACCCCAAACCGACACAGGUGGUCAGGUAGAGAAUACCAAGGCGCUUGAGAGAACUCGGGUGAAGGAACUAGGCAAAAUGGUGCCGUAACUUCGGGAGAAGGCACGCUGAUAUGUAGGUGAAGUCCCUCGCGGAUGGAGCUGAAAUCAGUCGAAGAUACCAGCUGGCUGCAACUGUUUAUUAAAAACACAGCACUGUGCAAACACGAAAGUGGACGUAUACGGUGUGACGCCUGCCCGGUGCCGGAAGGUUAAUUGAUGGGGUCAGCGCAAGCGAAGCUCUUGAUCGAAGCCCCGGUAAACGGCGGCCGUAACUAUAACGGUCCUAAGGUAGCGAAAUUCCUUGUCGGGUAAGUUCCGACCUGCACGAAUGGCGUAAUGAUGGCCAGGCUGUCUCCACCCGAGACUCAGUGAAAUUGAACUCGCUGUGAAGAUGCAGUGUACCCGCGGCAAGACGGAAAGACCCCGUGAACCUUUACUAUAGCUUGACACUGAACAUUGAGCCUUGAUGUGUAGGAUAGGUGGGAGGCUUAGAAGUGUGGACGCCAGUCUGCAUGGAGCCGACCUUGAAAUACCACCCUUUAAUGUUUGAUGUUCUAACGUUGACCCGUAAUCCGGGUUGCGGACAGUGUCUGGUGGGUAGUUUGACUGGGGCGGUCUCCUCCUAAAGAGUAACGGAGGAGCACGAAGGUUGGCUAAUCCUGGUCGGACAUCAGGAGGUUAGUGCAAUGGCAUAAGCCAGCUUGACUGCGAGCGUGACGGCGCGAGCAGGUGCGAAAGCAGGUCAUAGUGAUCCGGUGGUUCUGAAUGGAAGGGCCAUCGCUCAACGGAUAAAAGGUACUCCGGGGAUAACAGGCUGAUACCGCCCAAGAGUUCAUAUCGACGGCGGUGUUUGGCACCUCGAUGUCGGCUCAUCACAUCCUGGGGCUGAAGUAGGUCCCAAGGGUAUGGCUGUUCGCCAUUUAAAGUGGUACGCGAGCUGGGUUUAGAACGUCGUGAGACAGUUCGGUCCCUAUCUGCCGUGGGCGCUGGAGAACUGAGGGGGGCUGCUCCUAGUACGAGAGGACCGGAGUGGACGCAUCACUGGUGUUCGGGUUGUCAUGCCAAUGGCACUGCCCGGUAGCUAAAUGCGGAAGAGAUAAGUGCUGAAAGCAUCUAAGCACGAAACUUGCCCCGAGAUGAGUUCUCCCUGACCCUUUAAGGGUCCUGAAGGAACGUUGAAGACGACGACGUUGAUAGGCCGGGUGUGUAAGCGCAGCGAUGCGUUGAGCUAACCGGUACUAAUGAACCGUGAGGCUUAACCUU